CAAUAGCGUAUAUUAAAGUUGUUGCGGUUAAAAAGCUCGUAGUUGGAUUUCUGCUGAGAACGACCGGUCCGCCCUCUGGGUGUGUAUCUGGCUCUUUCUUGGCAUCUUCUUGGUGAACGUUGCUGCACUUGACUGUGUGGAGCGCUACCCAGGACUUUUACUUUGAGGAAAUUAGAGUGUUUCAAGCAGGCAUACGCCUUGAAUACAUUAGCAUGGAAUAAUAAGAUAGGACCUCGGUUCUAUUUUGUUGGUUUCUAGAGCUGAGGUAAUGAUUAAUAGGGAUAGUAGGGGGCAUUCGUAUUUAACUGUCAGAGGUGAAAUUCAUGGAUUUGUUAAAGACGGACUACUGCGAAANCANNNGCCAAGGAUGUUUUCAUNGA
rnacentral:rRNA from 1 species